CCCAAUCCCGACACGGGGAGGUAGUGACAAUAAAUACUGAUACAGGGCUCUUUUGGGUCUUGUAAUUGGAAUGAGUACAAUUUAAACCUCUUAACGAGGAACAAUUGGAGGGCAAGUCUGGUGCCAGCAGCCGCGGUAAUUCCAGCUCCAAUAGCGUAUAUUAAAGUUGUUGCAGUUAAAAAGCUCGUAGUUGAACCUUGGGUCUGGCUGGCAGGUCCGCCUCACCGCGUGUACUUGUCCGGCCGGGCCUUCCUUCUGGAGAACCUCAUGCCCUUCACUGGGCGUGUUGGGGACCAGGACUUUUACUUUGAAAAAAUUAGAGUGUUCAAAGCAGGCCUUUGCUCGAAUACGUUAGCAUGGAAUAAUAGAAUAGGACGUGCGGUCCUAUUUUGUUGGUUUCUAGGACCGCCGUAAUGAUUAAUAGGGACAGUCGGGGGCAUCAGUAUUCAAUUGUCAGAGGUGAAAUUCUUGGAUUUAUUGAAGACUAACUACUGCGAAAGCAUUUGCCAAGGAUGUUUUCAUUAAUCAGUGAACGAAAGUUAGGGGAUCGAAGACGAUCAGAUACCGUCGUAGUCUUAACCGUAAACUAUGCCGACUAGGGAUUGGGCGAUGUUCUUUUUCUGACUCGCUCAGCACCUUACGAGAAAUCAAAG
rnacentral:rRNA from 1 species